rnacentral:rRNA from 1 species
GUGCCAGCCGCCGCGGUAAUACGGAGGGUGCAAGCGUUAAUCGGAAUUACUGGGCGUAAAGCGCACGCAGGCGGUCUGACAAGUCGGAUGUGAAAUCCCCGGGCUCAACCCGGGAACUGCAUUCGAAACUGUCAGGCUGGAGUCUUGUAGAGGGGGGUAGAAUUCCAGGUGUAGCGGUGAAAUGCGUAGAGAUCUGGAGGAAUACCGGUGGCGAAGGCGGCCCCCUGGACAAAGACUGACGCUCAGGUGCGAAAGCGUGGGGAGCAAACAGGAUUAGAUACCCUGGUAGUCCACGCCGUAAACGAUGUCUAUUUGGAGGUUGUGCCCUUGAGGCGUGGCUUCCGGAGCUAACGCGUUAAAUAGACCGCCUGGGGAGUACGGCCGCAAGGUUAAACUCAAAUGAAUUGACGGGGGCCCGCACAAGCGGUGGAGCAUGUGGUUAAUUCGAUGCAACGCGAAGAACCUUACCUGGUCUUGACAUCCACAGAAGUUUUCAGUAGAU